rnacentral:rRNA from 1 species
UGGGGAAUUUUGCGCAAUGGGCGCAAGCCUGAUCCAGCCAUGCCGCGUGAGUGAAGAAGGCCUUAGGGUUGUAAAACUCUUUCACCCGUGAAGAUGAUGACGGUAGCGGGAGAAGAAGCCCCGGCUAACUCCGUGCCAGCAGCCGCGGUAAUACGGAGGGGGCGAGCGUUGUUCGGAAUUACUGGGCGUAAAGGGCGCGUAGGCGGAGCAUCAAGUCAGAGGUGAAAGCCCUGGGCUCAACCUGGGGACUGCCUUUGAAACUGAUGUUCUAGAGACCGGGAGAGGAUGGCGGAAUUCCCAGUGUAGAGGUGAAAUUCGUAGAUAUUGGGAAGAACACCGGUGGCGAAGGCGGCCAUCUGGACCGGACCUGACGCUGAGGCGCGAAAGCGUGGGGAGCAAACAGGAUUAGAUACCCGCGUAGUCC